UACGGAGGGGGCGAGCGUUAUUCGGAAUUAUUGGGCGUAAAGGGCGCGUAGGCGGCUUGACAAGUCAAAGGUGAAAUCCCUCGGCUCAACUGAGGAACUGCCUUUGAAACUGUCUGGCUUGAGGCCGGGAGAGGGUAGCGGAAUUCCCAGUGUAGCGGUGAAAUGCGUAGAUACUGGGAGGAACACCGGUGGCGAAGGCGGCUACCUGGACCGGUUCUGACGCUGAUGCGCGAAAGCGUGGGUAGCAAACAGG
rnacentral:rRNA from 1 species